GGAAGACUGACCAGGGUGGUGGAGGGCAGCCCUUUAGUGCUAAGCUCCCAGAGUGUGAUUGGGUGAUCCUAAAAGGCUGCAUAAAGGAGAGGAAGGGUGGAGCUGGAGAAAACACGAGGCUGAUGCAACUUGGUCAGAGGACCCAGUUCAUUUGGCAUGUCCUCCACCUCCAUCACAGGGCAGAGUUUCCAUGGGCCCAUUUCUGACUGCCAUUAAGAAGGUCUUGGAAGAAGGCAUCAGCAUCUGUAUGACUUUUUGGCUUCCCACUUUUUAUGCUUUUUGAAGGGAUGCUGGCUGGCACCCAUCUUUCUGAAUUCACUUGGUUGCUCUCAUCCUUAUGUACCACAAUAAGCUCUGCAGGGAUGAAGUGGUGAGGUUUAAAGUGAUGCCACCCCACUGCUUGUGGAGCGCUGCCUUCUGCAGAGCAAGCGGGAUGCGGAUCAGAUCAAACAAGCUUCCAGUUCUUGGUUUGCAUCCCACUAGAGACCCUCUCUGUGCUGCCCAAGCUGAUGAAGGCUCACACCCAAAUGCUUUGGUCAUGGUCAAGAAAGCUCAGCUUUGCUGUGCUCGAGUUUUGGCUCAGCCUCUUCCUCAUGGACCUGUCACACUGGCACAGAACAGAGCUACAAAUAAUUACAGCACAAAAUAAUUACAGCUGUGGCACACUUGACUGAACCAGUGACUUCUCACAUAUUUCCCUCAGUGGACAACAGGAACAAGGUAUAAUGGAUUAUUUGUCACUACAGUGGAAUUUUAAUAUACACAUGGGAAAUACUCUGCGCGAUGCUGUUCUCAAUAGGAAGUGCUUUGUUAUUUCUAACACAACUUUCUUCUGGUCUUCAUUUGUUAAAAUUAAAAUUAUUGAUCUCCUUGGGAAGCACGAGCCUGGUGAUUGCUCCCAAAUACAGCACUGAUACAGAAUCCAUGGACAAAACUGCGUUAUCAUGGAGGUGAUUGCUUAUUGUUAGUUGGAGGAGGUCAGGGAGUGGGAUUAAGCACAUCAUCCAAUCAACCCCGAAGGUGUAAUUCAGUAUAAAUCAUUUUUUAAUCAACAGGAGGAUAUGUUAAAGUCAUUUGCUUGUAGUGUCUGUUUAUAUUGAGAAAAUGCAGUGAUAUUAAAACGGAGUUUAUGUCUCUGGAUUUAUGCUUAAAUUGUUUUUUUUAUUGGCCCGUAGUACAAUAGGCAAAUGAGAUAUUCUCAAAUAAAUGUUUGUCAUCCAGGAU
rnacentral:lncRNA from 1 species